UAACGCUGGGAUCAAAAUUAGAAAUAUA
rnacentral:piRNA from 1 species